rnacentral:lncRNA from 1 species
UUUGAGUUCUUUUUUUUUUUUUUUAAUGAAUGCAAGACUACGUGUGCUGACAUAUUUAUCUUGGCAUCCGAGUUCCUUGGUUUAUCCCAUUUAUAAACAUGUACCUUAGUGCUCUGAAUCUUGCUUGGCUAACAGUUGACAAUCUCUUGAAAGAUCUUUAUUUCCAGGAUUUUUUCCUUUCCUACUUGGCCAAGUCACCAGGGACUGGGGCAGCUGCCUACUCCGUGAAGCUCCUCAGCUCUUUGAAAAUCAAGACCCGAUUCUCUGGGACAUAAGCAGGGUCCCUACUAAGCUAAUAUUUUCAGAAUGCAGAGACCAAGAGCCUGUCAGCCCCUACCUGAAACCUCUCUCCCAGAGCAAGGAUUGAGGUGAGAGAUGGGUGGUUUUUCCAGUUUCUAUGAAGGAUCGGGCUGGGGAAGCAGAGAGGGGCUUUCUCUAACUUCAAUUCCAAAGGCCAUGUGGCAAGUUCUGGUGAAGCUUUGCUGAAAGUCCAUCCAACGAUUGAUUAAAAGAAAAAAAAAAUAUAAGAGAAAAAAAGAAAAAUAAAGAGAAAGGAUGAAGAAGGUGGAAGAAAAAUUAAAAUACCUUUAAACAAUGACUGCAAAUUAUCCAAAUCAAUCCCCACGUUUAAUUUUGGAGGGAAAAAAUGUAAUAAUGUCAAAUAAAUUUAUCCUCAUUUCUCUCGACAGGAAACUGGAGGGGAGAAGGUGGGGAGGAGCCAGAGACUCAGUCCAGCACAGGAGAGAAACUGAGGCACAAGAGAAAAAAUGAGCCUCUGCCCCUCCCUCUCUUUGUUAUUGCUAAAGAGAACGGAGGAAGCUUUUUUUUGUUUCUUUCCUCUGGAUUUCUCUGCUUUCCUUUUCGGAUUCCCAGAGUAAAGGAACCUCUCAAAACCUCAGACCAAGGAUGCGCAUCGUCGGGCUUUCCUUCCAGACCCAGACGCCUGCUUCUGAGGGAGGUGGACGCGGAGAAAGACGCAAGCAAGUUCCCCCAAGCGGGGUCCGGAGCCUCCGUGCGGGAGGCUGUGCCCCUUGACACAAGGCACCGUCCGAUUUCAUUUCAAUAAUGCUGGCAAUUUUCUUCCCACUGGGUUGACUGGAGGCCUCGCUGCCCUAUGUGUGGGUCCCUGUGCUCGACUUUUUGCUCAAAGUGAUCCGAACAAAUAAAACAUCCAACAAGUCAUAACUUGCUGUUCAUAGACUGCGUCGUAGAGAAAGGAAGCUGCGAUCCCUCCUAAUUUAGUGUGCCCUGCCUGCCCAGUGAGGACCUGAGAACCUCCCAGCGG